rnacentral:rRNA from 1 species
GCGUAACGCGUGGGAAUCUGCCCUUGGGUUCGGAAUAACAGUUGGAAACGACUGCUAAUACCGGAUGAUGACGAAAGUCCAAAGAUUUAUCGCCCAAGGAUGAGCCCGCGUAGGAUUAGCUAGUUGGUGGGGUAAAGGCCUACCAAGGCGACGAUCCUUAGCUGGUCUGAGAGGAUGAUCAGCCACACUGGGACUGAGACACGGCCCAGACUCCUACGGGAGGCAGCAGUAGGGAAUAUUGGACAAUGGGGGCAACCCUGAUCCAGCAAUGCCGCGUGAGUGAUGAAGGCCUUAGGGUUGUAA